UACGUAGGGUGCGAGCGUUGCCCGGAUUUAUUGGGCGUAAAGGGCGCGCAGGCGGCCACGCACGUCCGUUGUGAAAUCGCCCGGCUCAACUGGGCGGGGUCGGCGGAUACGGCGUGGCUGGAGCAAGCUAGGGGGUAGUGGAAUUCCCGGUGUAGUGGUGGAAUGCGUAGAUAUCGGGAGGAACACCAGUGGCGAAGGCGGCUACCUGGGGCUUACCUGACGCUGAGACGCGAAAGCGUGGGGAGCGAACCGG
rnacentral:rRNA from 1 species